AGUGAGCAUUGACCACCUCCCACCUCAAGAUUCAAGUAUUCAACUAAUGCAAUCAAUCGAUUAACGUGAUUACCAUCCAGAACGCCACAUUACGGUAUACUUGUAUAAUCCUGAUGACUCCGUGAAAUGGCCGAGGACGCAGAGGAGAUGGUUGGCGAAAGUGAAGACUCCAAUUCCUGCAAUCCUAGACAGGGAGGGCUUCACGCAAAGGAAAUCACUCUUUCCGCUGUCCUGACCCGUUUGAUUUCGGCGGUUUUGUUCCCCGGGCCGGACACACCCGGUACAUUUCAACACCGGGUCAAGAUUGCACUCUCCGAGUAUGCCCCCUUGCUCUGCGAAGCUUCUCAGAACACUGCUCGUAAUAUUUACGCCUGGACUCGCCGGGGAAGUCCUUUCCGUGCCCUCCUCCUUCUUUCUGUUGGGACAAUUGGCCUUUUUUCGUUGACAGGAUUACUAAUUUUUAUGAUUUUCUUUGUUGCGGCAACUGUCAAUGCAAUAGUGAUAUCUCUGGUCAUCUCUUUAGUGGUAGCAGGGGGGUUCUUGGUUCUUUUGUUUGCCUGUUUGAUAGCCAUUUACCUUGGGGCACUAUUUGCAGCUAUAUUAGUCAUUUCAACUGCAACAAUUUCAGCAAUUAUUACUGCUUCCAUAGUUGCAGGCUUGAUUGGAUUCUUGUUUGCUGUGGGGCUUCUAACAAAGAAGAGCAUCUAUCUUGCAAAGAGUUCCUUGAGCACAACAGCAUCAGCAUUUUCAUCUCGUUCCUCCACUCAGCAACACCACAUGAAUCAAUCAUAUGAUUAAGCUGAAGGGUUGAUGUAAAAAGUAUCAGAUGGAGAUGUCAGCAUGCACUGUGCCUUAUAUUUGGUGGCAGAUGUUGUGUAUAGAGCAUAUCAUCCAUUUUCCAGGCAAUUUAAGUUGGUAGUUCGUAGAGGUACUUUUUGGAGAAGUUGAGAUGAAAACGACUUAGUAGUUAUAUUCUUGUGUUUUCAAUAAAAUCUGGAGGCAGUGUAUUGCUUGCCUGCUUCAUUGGAUCUAUGGUGUUAUCUAUUGUGUGUUUCCAA